rnacentral:rRNA from 1 species
UACGGGGGGGGCAAGCGUUGUUCGGAAUUACUGGGCGUAAAGGGCUCGUAGGUGGCCAACUAAGUCAGACGUGAAAUCCCUCGGCUUAACCGGGGAACUGCGUCUGAUACUGGAUGGCUUGAGAUUGGGAGAGGGAUGCGGAAUUCCAGGUGUAGCGGUGAAAUGCGUAGAUAUCUGGAGGAAUACCGGUGGCGAAGGCGGCAUCCUGGACCAUAACUGACGCUGAGGCGCGAAAGCUAGGGGAGCAAACGGG